CUCACUCUCUUCUGUCAA
rnacentral:snRNA from 1 species